UAAUUGAAAUUGAAAUAGACUUUUUAUUUUGGGGCCUCAUAAUGAUGUUGAGCCUAGUUCCUCCAAAAGUAUAAAUAUGGCCCUCCUGACCGAAUGGUCUGAUGUAUGGAAAUGUUUGAGUCUGGUUCUUGUAUUUUUGUGUUCAUUAAAUUUAUUAUAAUAAAGUACAGUUUAAUAAUAAAUAUUGGUAGUAGGCAAUCCAUAAAUUUUGGGCAUUUACACUUUCCAGCUGCUCCAAUUUAUGACUACAACAACCCAAACCCUGUCAUAAGUCAAAGAAAACUUGUAUACAUAAUUUUUAUAAAUUUAGGAAUAAUACAAAAUAUUUUGGAAAUGUUUGUUUCAACAGUUACAUAUUAGAUAAAUGAUAUGCAUAUAAAAUUGACUCUAAUUUAAAAUCUAAUAGAAAUAGAAUGAGUUAUUAUAAAGAAAAUCCUGGUUCAGAAAAUCAAAAUAACAUGCAACAAGCUUAUAAAUCAAACUAGGGGGAUUUAUUAUUAUAAAGUACUUUUGGGUAUUGACCCAUCAUCUGUGUGCUGCGGACUGAAGGAG
rnacentral:lncRNA from 1 species